AGUCUCUUUCUGGAGCAUUUUUUGGAGCAUUUACCAUCCCCCAGGCAGUGAUUUUUUUUUAGGGUCUACCUACCCCUAGCCCUUCUUUCAGAUUUCCCCUCAGAUGUGCACUGCGAAGAGGAAGUGCUCUUGGUAAACUACUAGUUCUCUUUUGUUGGGGGUGGGGGUGGGGCAUAUAAAAGAUCUCUGUUGCUCUGGCUUUCUCCAAAGAAGAGGAAAUCAGCCCAGAAAUACUUUGCAAACACCUGAGGAGCAAAACCAAAUUGGUUUUGGUUAUUUACUUCUGAGCCCAAAUAUUUUUUCUUCUGGUCCUGACUUUCAUUCACAUAUGGUUUACACAAUAUUAUUGUAAUAACUGAGGAGUUCCCCUUGUGGCUCAGUGGAAAUGAAUCUGAUUAGGAUCCAUGAAGACACAGGUUCGAUCCCUGGCCUCACUCAGUGGGUUAAGGAUCCGUCGUUGCUGUGAGCUGUGGUGUAGGUCAAAGACAGGCUCAGAUCUGGUGUUGGUGUGGCUGUGGUGUAGGCCAGCAGCUACAGCUCUGAUUGAACCCCUAGCCUGGCAACCUCCAUAUGCUGUGGGUGCGGCCCUAAAAAGUUAAAAAAAAAAUUAUUGUAGAAACUAGCUUAGAAAUAAAAUGUGGACAGAAGGCAUAAUCUGGUAAAUUAAAAAAUAAACUGUUCCAUUGUAGUGAGAAUAUAAUGUUGUGAUGUCUAUGCAAUAGCAAAUAUCUAGUAAAAUGGGGAAAGAAAAGAUAGCAUUACACAGAGGCCAAGAGUCCAACCAUCUGAGAUUCUUAGUGAUUAACCCAGAUGUCUCUGAGAAGAGACAAAAAGGUAAACUGUUAAGUCUUCAUGGAGGCUUUUCUGGGUACAAAUGGAAGCCCAGGCAUCAUGACCACAUACGAAUUUGCUCUCCUGAGUCUCAGCCUUUUCCUCCACCAUCCAACACUAACCUCCAAUACACACAAUGACAUAGUAGGUCUUUGUGUACUUGAAAUGAAAAUUGAGGCAGGAGAAGAUUGUGCGAUGGUGGUGUUUUCCUGAAAGGCUGUGAGUUACAUUGUUCUCGAAACAACACAUCCCUCAGUUGUUUGCAUGGACUACUUUCUUCUGUCUAAUGUUUACAGUGAAGGCCUGGUUUGAAAAGACGUAUGAAUUCUUUUAGUACAACCUUUGUUGGGAAAAUGAAUUACGAGUGGUUCAUUUUAUGCCAAGCCUUUUGUUAGCACCGUUUAUAGCUGUUCUAUUGAUUCACUUUGUGAGAGCCAUUCUGAGAGUUGAUGAAUGUGUCUUACGAGAGAAUAUAAGCCCUGCAAUUUGUUUUGAUUGGUCUUCAUUUGGAUUCAUAGCGAGCAGGUGCCAUCAUUUCAAAUUGGUUUUGGCAGCAGUUUGGUUAUACAAACAUUAGAUACAUGAAAUGAAACCUAAUUUAAAUUAUUUUCAUCAGGAGGAAUGGGGGGGGCCUUACAUUGAAUGUAAGAGCACCAGGGUUCUGUUUUUACAGCUUCUGAGCUUACAAAUGUGUAACAUACCAUAUGUCUGAACAUAUGUGUGUAUAGGUGGCCUCCUUUGUGUGAAUACUUAACAUGCACAUCUCCUACAAUUCUUUGAGAGUUUAUGCAAAUAUUCUAAAGAAAUAUGAGCCUAUGACUUCUUAAUAUAAUGGAAAAAAAUUUUUUUCCAGUCUGAAAAAUAUAGGCAUUUCUGCUUUGGAAAAUACAUCAAGAAUUACUUUCAAUUUGGUGUAUUUUGUUGCUUAUAUUUUAGCCUUGGGAAAUAACCGAUCACAUUUUUAAGCCUUUGGUUUACCUGUUUUGUUAAUGCUGUUGAUAACUGCCCCAGCAGCUUUAAAAGAGUAUCAAAAUUCUUGUUAAGUGCACAGGAAGGACUACAGGGGAAGAACUGCAAUGCUUCUAAGCCUCCCCAGCAAAACUGUUUACAAGGCUGACAUUUUCCUAAGAAUGACUUUCCAGGUUUUCAUGAGUCUAUAUACAUUAUUACAAAUGUAUUUUUGUUCAGGCAAAGGACUGAAUAGGGACUUGUAAUCACAGGUGGAAUGAGCCAUCUGGAUGUCUGUCUGUAACCCUUUAAGUAACAACCUAAAACCUUGAACUUCUUCUGGGUAAAUUUUUUAAAAUGCAAGAUUCAAAAUCUCAGAGUACUCCCAUGAAAAUGUGUUUUAUAUGCUCCUUCAUGCUGCUGGCUCUUUAAGCUGCCACAGCACCUGGCAUCUUCCUCACCCUCUGCCUCUCAACCUUUAUUCCUCAGAAAUCAGGCUUCCAGAGUUCCCGUCAUGGCUCCGCAGAAACGAACCUGACUAGUAUCCAUGAGGACUUGGGUUUGAUCCUUGGCCUCACUCAGUAGGUUAAGGAUCCGGCAUUACCAUGAGUUGUAGUGUGGGUUGUAUAUACGGUUUGGAUCUGGUGUUGCUGUGUCUGUGGCAUAGGCUGGCAGCUGGAGCUCCGAUUCAACUCCAAGCCUGGCAACUUCCACAUGCUGUGGGUGCAGUCCUAAAAAAGAUAAAUAAAUAAAUAAAUGAGGCUUCCCAUGGUCCCUACAGGCUGACUUGGGCAGUUCUUCUUCCAAGAACCCACGGAAAGCACAUGUCAAAUUGUAUUGUACCUGUCCCCUUAUCUCUCCCUCUUGUCAAUAGGACUUCUUUGAGGACUAAGAUCUGCCUUUGUCUUUAUGGCUCCAGGGCCAAGCUCAAAGCAUGACAUGUGCUGCCGAUAAAUGUUAGUUGAAUGAACGAAAGAGUGAAUUGGUUUUCUGGCAGAUAAAAUGAACUCAGAAGAGCGUAAUUUACACAAAAAUGAUUAACAUUAACAUGCAGGCAUGCCCAAGGCCCAAAUCAUGUUUUAAUUGCUUUCUCUGUUGGAAAAUGAUCUAGGAAAUGUUACCAUAGGUAGCCUGAAUGACAAGAAAACCUUCAAAUGUGGCUGUCUUGUGGAAGAUCAGUUCCCACAGGGCAGGUUGCACUCAUGAUGCUCAAGUAAUUAAUGAGCCUCCUCCUCAUUCCAGUGAGGGUCUGAGGCAAUGGCACCAAACCAGAAGCAUCAUCUAAUGGAGUCAGUAGGAUUCCUGGUAGAAAAGAAGUGAAUGCGAGCCCAAGGUCACUGAGAAUUAAUAGCAGAGAUGGACGUAAAACCCAAACCUUCAGAGGCCCAUUCCACUGUUCUUCCCAUUAGUCCUUGUUGCUUUGCUUUGUCAGUGUUCAGUCAAGUGGUGACUUGGAAGAUCAUUAAGGACUCAUGGCUGGGGUCUCUAACCUCUUGCAUCUACAGGUUGGCCUUCAUAGUUGGGUAAUUAGGUAACUAGUCAUUUUGCCCCUCAUUGGGCCUUGCAUGGCGAGCCAACUCUUCUGUGGCCAAUUAAAAAUACUGACUUCUGUGGCCCUAGUUGGGGAGUUAGAGAUUGAAAGGGUUACUGUUGAGUAGCUGG
rnacentral:lncRNA from 1 species